AAAGGAGUAGGUUCAGUAAGACACCUUUUUGGCCCCAAAAUAUAGCAGUUUUACAAAUUGUUAAAAUGUAUACUUUUAGUUAUUUAUUGGACAGUAGAAUGCUUCUGCUAAAUAAAUAUGGGCUGUGUUUGACAAUACAAUGCUCAUAUAUCGGGUACUAGCAUCAUUAAGUCAUGCUAAAUUACUGAAAUCCUCACAAUUUUAGCAUUUUAGUUUAUG
rnacentral:lncRNA from 1 species